rnacentral:rRNA from 1 species
CCUACGGGUGGCAGCAGUGAGGAAUAUUGGUCAAUGGGCGGAAGCCUGAACCAGCCAAGUAGCGUGCAGGAUGACGGCCCUACGGGUUGUAAACUGCUUUUAUACGGGAAUAACGCGCCUUACGUGUAGGGCUUUGCAUGUACCGUAUGAAUAAGGACCGGCUAAUUCCGUGUCAGCAGCCGCGAUAAUACGGACGGUCCGGGUGUUAUCCGGAUUUCUUGGGUUUAAAGGGAGCGUAGGCCGCAUGUCAAGCGUGCUGUGAAAUGUCCGGGCUCAACCCGGGCCUUGCAGCGCGAACUGGCGUGCUUGAGUCCGCGGAAAGCAGGCGGAAUUCGUCGUGUAGCGAUGAAAUGCUUAGAUAUGACGAAGAACCCCGAUUGCGAAGGCAGCUUGCUGCAGCGGAACUGACGCUGAUGCUCGAAAGCGCGGGUAUCGAACAGGAUUAGAUACCCCAGUAGUC